CAAUAGUCAAUAAAUCAUAUUAUAUAAUAAAUUAAUAGUUAUAUAUUUAUUUUAAUAACAAAACAUUCAAAAGAAUUUUCUUAAAUUUUAUACUAACCUUUAGGAAUGUGGAUUUGGAGAUCAAAUUGCCUUUAUUUUCUCAAUAUAUAUGUAAUCUAAACAAGGAAACUUUCAGUUUUCAGAGCAGUUGUUUAUUUAAGAAGCUUAAAUACAAUGAUUUGGUACUUAUUAAGGAAUGCAACUUUAGCAAUGUUACUGAUGGAAUGACAAGACAGCAUUCAAACGCACAGGUGAAUAUUUGGGUUUAAACUGAGAGUACUCAAUUUCAUUUCCCACUUUGAUUUAACAAAAUUCAUACAACACUCAAUACAUAUUAGCCGUUACUAUUCGACAUAAGAACUUAAUAUUGAGAUUUCAGGUUUCAUUAUCUGAAAACAAUGCAGCUAAAGAGACAAUAGUGCCAUUUAUUCAAGCUUACAAAAUGUGAACCAUCUUUCAAAAGUCACCAAACCAAGACCACAAGGCCAACACAAGUUCCAGGUUCCAUGUUUGUUUAUUAUUGAAAGAAAAUGCUCAAAAUAUGAUAAAUCCUUUCUCCUUUAAGCUCUCAACUGUUUCCUUUAAGCUCACAUCCAAGGGUAUGAAGUCAAUACCCAGGCUUUUUGCUUUUUCCUUGGACACCUGAUAUGUUGACGCAUAAGGUUUCUCGUCCACACACCUACAAAGGUUUCCCAGCAAGGAAACUAAUUUAAAAAUCUACAGCUACUACAACAAAAAAGAAAUAUGGAGAAUACAAUUGUCAUGUUUCAUUCAAGUGCCUUUUGGACACUGAAAUUUAAGAAAUAGUUACUAUGGUACAAAAUGAAUGGAGGUGCCAAAUUAUAACAUAACCACAACAAAUAUAAACCAGCAGCAGCGACAAUACGAUGAAAUUGUCAAAAGAAAACUGAAUGUACACGUUUUCAUAAGUAUUCAGCAAACUCUAAUUCUGGUCUCUCUUUUUUUUUCCCUCUCUUUGCUUAUUCCUUCAUAUUGCACACUGCACCACACCAUGAAACUCCUCCAUCACAUCAUGGCAUGGUGGUCCGGAAGGCAUUCAGCCCCUAUAAUCCAAUGUGUAUCCACAGUCCACUCACUCUUUCUUUACCCUCUUUAGGAGCUUUAAUGCAUAUUUCAUAAUAUAAUGCAAGCUAGCAUUAACUUAGAGAACUUUUUCAGUUUUCCUUCUUUCAUCUCCUUAAAAAAAAUAAUGGUUCUCUAUGUGCUUAUCAACUACCAUAAGAAUGAGAGGACACAUGCAU
rnacentral:misc_RNA from 1 species